AUACGGAGGAUGCAAGCGUUAUCCGGAUUUAUUGGGUUUAAAGGGUGCGUAGGCGGUUUGCUAAGCGGGAGGUGAAAUGCCGGCGCUCAACGUCGGAAGUGCCUCCCGAACUGGUGGACUUGAAUGACUCUGCCGUGGUAGGAAUGGGUAGGGUAGCGGUGAAAUGCUAAAGGAUUACACAGAACACCGAUUGCGAAGGCAUCUCACGAAGGGUUGAUUGACGCUGAGGCACGAAAGCGUGGGGAUCAAACAGGAUUAGAUCCCCGGGUAGCCCACGCCGUAAACGAUGGGCGCUCGUCGUCGGCGGCAGACAGUCGGCGGCCAAGCGAAAGCGAUAAGCGCCCCACCUGGGGAGUACGGUCGCAAGGCUGAAACUCAAAUGAAUUGGCGGGG
rnacentral:rRNA from 1 species